rnacentral:rRNA from 1 species
GACGAACGCUGGCGGCGUGCUUAACACAUGCAAGUCGAACGGAAAGGCCCUGCUUUUGUGGGGUGCUCGAGUGGCGAACGGGUGAGUAACACGUGAGUAACCUGCCCUUGACUUUGGGAUAACUUCAGGAAACUGGGGCUAAUACCGGAUAGGAGCUCCUGCUGCAUGGUGGGGGUUGGAAAGUUUCGGCGGUUGGGGAUGGACUCGCGGCUUAUCAGCUUGUUGGUGGGGUAGUGGCUUACCAAGGCUUUGACGGGUAGCCGGCCUGAGGGGGUGACCGGCCACAUUGGGACUGAGGUACGGCGCAGACUCCUACGGGAGGCAGCGGUGGGGAAUAUUGCACAGUGGGCGGAAGCCUGAUGCAGCAACGCCGCGUGCGGGAUGACGGCCUUCGGGUUGUAAACCGCUUUCGCCUGUGACGAAGCGUGAGUGACGGUAAUGGGUAAAGAAGCACCGGCUAACUACGUG